UACGUAGGGUGCAAGCGUUGUCCGGAAUUAUUGGGCGUAAAGAGCUCGUAGGCGGUCUGUCGCGUCGGCUGUGAAAACCCGGGGCUCAACCCCGGGCCUGCAGUCGAUACGGGCAGACUAGAGUGCGGUAGGGGAGACUGGAAUUCCCGGUGUAGCGGUGAAAUGCGCAGAUAUCAGGAGGAACACCGGUGGCGAAGGCGGGUCUCUGGACAGUUCCUGACGCUGAGGCACGAAGGUCAGGGGAGCAAACGGG
rnacentral:rRNA from 1 species